rnacentral:rRNA from 1 species
ACUCAAAGGAAUUGACGGGGGCCCGCACAAGCAGCGGAGCGUGUGGUUUAAUUCGAGGCUACACGAAGAACCUUACCUGGGUUUGACAUGCUGGUAGUAGGGAACCGAAAGGGGACCGACCUUCGGGAGCCAGCACAGGUGCUGCAUGGCUGUCGUCAGCUCGUGCCGUGAGGUGUUCGGUUAAGUCCGCAAACGAGCGCAACCCUCGGCGUUAGUUACAGGUGUCUAACGCAACUGCCCGUGAGAAACGGGAGGAAGGUGGGGAUGACGUCAAGUCAGCAUGGCCUUUAUAUCCAGGGCUACACACACGCUACAAUGGGGGGUACAAUGGGUUGCGAAGUCGCGAGGCGGAGCCAAUCCAGAAAGCCUUUCGUAGUUCGGAUUGCAGGCUGCAACUCGCCUGCAUGAAGUCGGAGUUGCUAGUAACCGCGCAUCAGCGAUGGCGCGGUGAAUACGUUCCCGGGCCUUGUACACACCGCCCGU